UCUCUGGUAGUCCAGUGAUUAAGAUUCUACAUUCCCAGUGCAGGGGGCCUGGGUUCAAACCCCUGGUCAGGGAA
rnacentral:tRNA from 1 species